rnacentral:rRNA from 1 species
GACGAACGCUGGCGGCGUGCCUAAUACAUGCAAGUUGAGCGAUGAAGCUUGGUGCUUGCACCAAUUUGCAGAGCAGCGAACGGGCGAGUAACGCGUGGGGAAUCUGCCUUUGAGCGGGGGACAACAUUUGGAAACGAAUGCUAAUACCGCAUAACAACUUUAAACAUAAGUUUUAAGUUUGAAAGAUGCGAUUGCAUCACUCAAAGAUGAUCCCGCGUUGUAUUAGCUAGUUGGUGAGGUAAAGGCUCACCAAGGCGAUGAUACAUAGCCGACCUGAGAGGGUGAUCGGCCACAUUGGGACUGAGACACGGCCCAAACUCCUACGGGAGGCAGCAGUAGGGAAUCUUCGGCAAUGGACGAAAGUCUGACCGAGCAACGCCGCGUGAGUGAAGAAGGUUUUCGGAUCGUAAAACUCUGUUGGUAGAGAAGAACGUUGGUGAGAGUGGAAAGCUCAUCAAGUGACGGUAACUACCCAGAAAGGGACGGCUAACUACGUG